AUUGAACGCUGGCGGCAGGCCUAACACAUGCAAGUCGAACGGUAGCACAGAGAGCUUGCUCUCGGGUGACGAGUGGCGGACGGGUGAGUAACGUCUGGGAAACUGCCCGAUGGAGGGGGAUAACUACUGGAAACGGUAGCUAAUACCGCAUAACGUCGCAAGACCAAAGUGGGGGACCUUCGGUCCUCACACCAUCGGAUGUGCCCAGAUGGGAUUAGCUAGUAGGUGGGGUAAUGGCUCACCUAGGCGACGAUCCCUAGCUGGGCUGAGAGGAUGACCAGCCACACUGGAACGGAGACACGGUCCAGACUCCUACGGGAGGCAGCAGUGGGGAAUAUUGCACAAUGGGCGCAAGCCUGAUGCAGCCAUGCCGCGUGUAUGAAGAAGGCCUUCGGGUUGUAAAGUACUUUCAGCGGGGAGGAAGGCGGUGAAGUUAAUAGCUUCACCGAUUGACGUUACCCGCAGAAGAAGCACCGGCUAACUCCGUGCCAGCCGCCGCCGUAA
rnacentral:rRNA from 1 species